rnacentral:rRNA from 1 species
AGAGUUUGAUCCUGGCUCAGGAUGAACGCUGGCGGCGUGCCUAAUACAUGCAAGUCGAACGCUUUGUGGUUCAACUGAUUUGAAGAGCUUGCUCAGAUAUGACGAUGGACAUUGCAAAGAGUGGCGAACGGGUGAGUAACACGUGGGAAACCUACCUCUUAGCAGGGGAUAACAUUUGGAAACAGAUGCUAAUACCGUAUAACAAUAGCAACCGCAUGGUUGCUACUUAAAAGAUGGUUCUGCUAUCACUAAGAGAUGGUCCCGCGGUGCAUUAGUUAGUUGGUGAGGUAAUGGCUCACCAAGACGAUGAUGCAUAGCCGAGUUGAGAGACUGAUCGGCCACAAUGGGACUGAGACACGGCCCAUACUCCUACGGGAGGCAGCAGUAGGGAAUCUUCCACAAUGGGCGAAAGCCUGAUGGAGCAACGCCGCGUGUGUGAUGAAGGGUUUCGGCUCGUAAAACACUGUUGUAAGAGAAGAAUGACAUUGAGAGUAACUGUUCAAUGUGUGACGGUAUCUUACCAGAAAGGAACGGCUAAAUACGUGCCAGCAGCCGCGGUAAUACGUAUGUUCCAAGCGUUAUCCGGAUUUAUUGGGCGUAAAGCGAGCGCAGACGGUUAUUUAAGUCUGAAGUGAAAGCCCUCAGCUCAACUGAGGAAUUGCUUUGGAAACUGGAUGACUUGAGUGCAGUAGAGGAAAGUGGAACUCCAUGUGUAGCGGUGAAAUGCGUAGAUAUAUGGAAGAACACCAGUGGCGAAGGCGGCUUUCUGGACUGUAACUGACGUUGAGGCUCGAAAGUGUGGGUAGCAAACAGGAUUAGAUACCCUGGUAGUCCACACCGUAAACGAUGAGUGCUAGGUGUUUGAGGGUUUCCGCCCUUAAGUGCCGCAGCUAACGCAUUAAGCACUCCGCCUGGGGAGUACGACCGCAAGGUUGAAAC